UAGUGGCGAACGGGUGAGUAACACGUGGGCAAUCUGCCCUUCACUCUGGGACAAGCCCUGGAAACGGGGUCUAAUACCGGAUAACACUUUUCCCUGCAUGGGGGAGGGUUGAAAGCUCCGGCGGUGAAGGAUGAGCCCGCGGCCUAUCAGCUUGUUGGUGGGGUGAUGGCCUACCAAGGCGACGACGGGUAGCCGGCCUGAGAGGGCGACCGGCCACACUGGGACUGAGACACGGCCCAGACUCCUACGGGAGGCAGCAGUGGGGAAUAUUGCACAAUGGGCGGAAGCCUGAUGCAGCGACGCCGCGUGAGGGAUGACGGCCUUCGGGUUGUAAACCUCUUUCAGCAGGGAAGAAGCGUGAGUGACGGUACCUGCAGAAGAAGCGCCGGCUAACUACGUGCCAGCAGCCGCGGUAAUACGUAGGGCGCAAGCGUUGUCCGGAAUUAUUGGGCGUAAAGAGCUCGUAGGCGGCUUGUCGCGUCGGAUGUGAAAGCCCGGGGCUCAACCCCGGGUCUGCAUUCGAUACGGNCAGGCUGGAGUGUGGUAGGGGAGAUCGGAAUUCCU
rnacentral:rRNA from 1 species